UGAAAGCAUCUAAGCGGGAAACUCGUUUCAAGAUUAGAUCUGCCGGGGCCUUGAGCCCCCUAAAGAGUCGUUCAAGACCAGGACGUUGAUAGGUCAGGUGUGGAAGCGCAGUAAUGCGUUAAGCUAACUGAUACUAAUUGCUCGUGCGACUUGACCCU
rnacentral:rRNA from 1 species